ACUCGAGAAAAGAAUUUUAGUUCUUCUAAAAGCCCCCACAAUAAUGAAAAAUGAACCCGAGACUUUUAUGUUACCCAAGUAAGGUACAGCUUACUUGAGACAGGAAACAACCUCCACUACUGGGUAAGCCAUUCUAUACAACAUAAAUUUGUUGGCCUAAAAGCAGCCAUCCCUUACAGCGUCAAAGCUCAUUUAUGUUUAAAACUAAUAACCUGAUUUCCCACGAACCCUUCAUCAGUAUCGAGUAGUUCUAUGUCCACCAUAGAAUCUUCUAUGUUAAAACUAGUAACAAGAAGCUAGCCUUCUCUAAAAUGCAUGUAUAAGUCAAACUGAACCCAUCACUGACUAUUAACAGCCCUUAACUAAAGAAGAAACUUACCAAGUAAAACCUUCUGCAUAAUCUGUUAACCUAACACUAGCGCACUCCAAGAAAGAUUAAAAGAAAAUGAAGGAACUCGGCAAACCACGACCUCGCCUGUUUACCAAAAACAUCGCCUCUUGACACAUAUAAGAGGUCCAGCCUGCCCAGUGACUUAUUCAACGGCCGCGGUAUCCUAACCGUGCGAAGGUAGCGUAAUCACUUGUCUUUUAAAUAAGGACUAGUAUGAAAGGCAUCACGAGGGUCAAGCUGUCUCCCCUUUCUAAUCAGUAAAACUAAUCUUCCCGUGAAGAAGCGGGAAUUCCUUUAUAAGACGAGAAGACCCUAUGGAGCUUUAAACUACAAGUUAUUUGCCUACUUCAUAAUACUACUCCAGAGAAUUAAAAUUUUUAGGCUCUCUAACUAAGCAUUUUAGGUUGGGGUGACCUAGGAGAAAAACUAACCCUCCUAGUUGACACGGGCUAGCCCUGAGAAAAAAGCUACAACUUUAGCCACCAACAAAUUGACAUCAAUUGACCCAGUCCGCUGAGCAACGAACCAAGUUACCCUAGGGAUAACAGCGCAAUCCACCUCAAGAGUCCCUAUCGACAAGUGGGUUUACGACCUCGAUGUUGGAUCAGGGUGUCCAAGUGGUGCAGCCGCUACUAAAGGUUCGUUUGUUCAACGAUUAAAACCCU
rnacentral:rRNA from 1 species